AGUAGUGGUAUCAACGCAUGGUUCACGGGACACUACGAACACUUUCCGACAAUCGUGAAAAUAGAUUUGGUAUUUCAUAAUCCAAACUGAUCCUAAUUCUACAA